GGUCUUCAGGGCGGGGUGUAAGUCCCCACCGGCGGUAUAGCCCGCGAGCCGUAAGGCAUGAUCCGGUGACAACGAUGCAUGAGCUGCAUUCGGUGAAUUCCGGAGCCGACAGUUACAGUCUGGAUGGAAGAAGAA
rnacentral:ncRNA from 1 species